CCUAAAAGUUGAGGCCAAUAACCACAAAAUGCCUGCAGAGCUGGAGGAGCCAAACUCAAAGUGAAGACCCCUGGGACUGGACACAUGACAAGGGACAGAGUCUACCUGAAGUGGAUUAUUUGGUUGGAAUAUGUAUAUAAUGGCUGAAGCUCCAGAGGCUGUCCUGAGUUGAUGAGAAAGCCUUGGGAAUAGAAGUGUCAUCGCAGAGAACAAGAUAGAACUGACACCGUGGAGUAACAUUCCAGUAACUUACCAUAAAAUUUCUAUCACUGGACUUUGUGGACAUGAAAAAUCUACAUCUGUUCUUGGGGCUUUACUGUUACUUCCAGCUAAAUUUAAUCCUCCUUAAUGCAAAAGAAAUUCAGGAUGGGGAAGUGUUUAUAAAGUCAUGUAUCCAGAA